CUCUCAUUUUCUCUUCAAUCAAAAACCCUAAUUCUCCUUUUCCUUCAAUCAGUCAUACGUGUGUCGCUCCUCUGCCUCCCCCCAUACACGAACCGGAUAAUAUCCCCCAUCCUUCAAUCCUACUUACACCCUGAUAAUUCAAACCACUGAUUCCUAAUCUCACCUCCUACAAUCCACUAAUUCACCUCCCUUUUUACUCUUAAUCUUCGUCUUUGUCGUCAAUCUCUGUUUCUAGGGUUUCAUUUCUGCAAUUGAAUUCGUGUUUGAUUGUGUCGGUGUUGUGUUAUGCAAUGAGGUUGAAGGUUUAUGAUUUGGAUUGUUAGUUAAAUAGAAUGGAUGUAGUCAACUUUUCCUUAAUGGGAUUCUAGGGUUCCUGCUACAUCAGGUACGUUCUAUCGAGGUUGUUGUUUUUGUUACGAUUGAUUCAAACACAUACUCUGCUACAUCAAGUACGUUUUUAAGGAUCUAUUUUUUAAUAGGUAAUAUAUUAAACGGAAAAGUUAGCUAUUUCUGUUAACUGAAAAGUGAAAAAUUUAGAUAACAAUAUUUGAUAUAGACCAUCAUAUAAUAUAUAAUAUAGUGAUCUGGUGAAGUUUCUUUUUAUUUUAUUUUGGGAUUAAGUUUGGUAAUUAUCAUUUGCAGUACUAUGUUGGCAUGACUUUAAUUUAUAAAUUAAUAUCACACUCUAGACAUUCACAAUUUAAUGUUCUUCGUAUACUCAUUACAGGUUUAUAGGUUCAUUCAAUUCAUUCAAAGUUUUUUUUCUAGGAUUUGUUUUUUUUUUUUCUAAAUUGAGUCUUGAGGGAGUUUCAAAUCAAAUUUUGUUGUUACUUGUGUCCACUUAACUAUUCUUGCUACUCACGUCGUGAUGAUUUCAAAUAAGGAUUUGUUUAAUGCAACGUGUUUUGUUUGAAUCUUAACUGAUUUGAUUAAAUUAGGCGGAUGCUUUGUUAAAGGAGAAUAUAUAAGCAAAUGCAUUUAGGUGGAAGGAAACUUUUGGAGCAUGGGAGGUGAGACAAGGUUACUGUACUGAUGAUGGCCUUGCCCACUACAAGUUCUUUCAGAUACAAAACAUCUUAUACUCCAUACCUGUUAGGUAAAGAUUAAGUGCAGCACCAAUCUGGUAUUCAACAAUGGUAAUCUAAAUCACCUUCUCCUUUCAUAGUGUAUAUAAUAAUAGUAUGCAUAUUAGAUAAUUUGAAUGAAAAAUUGACUCUUUUUUUGGAAUCUAAAUGAACCAGUCUUCCUAGGCUAUAUAACCAAUUAGUGUAUUUUAUCUUUAAAUUUCCCUUUACUUGGUUUCUAACUAAACUUUGGAUCAGUGAACCAGAAGAUGAACUCAAGUUGGUUUUACAGGUUGCUUAGUUGAGCAGGGCCAUUGAGGGAGGAAGAACACGCAUAUGAUGUGGCAUUUUUGACACAUAUACGUAUAGGUCAAUUUUGGUUUUGUUUGAUGAUUUUAAUAUGCAAAUGAGUCAAAAUCAAAAAAAAAAAAAGAAAGAAAAAAAAGACAAAAAUGGAGUGAGUCAAAUGGGUCUAAAAGGCUGAAAACUACCUAACUUAUUUUAAUAUUUUUUGGUAGAUUUUAUUUGAAGACUUAGACUAUUAUUGUAAUUAUAAUUAUAAUUGUUUCUUCUUUCUUUUCUUAUAUUUGAUUGCUUUCUUUUGCAUUUAAUCUCAUAGAGAAUUGCAACAAGCCUAAAUAUAUAUGUGUUCAUGUUAAAGCAGUAUGGUGGUUUGAGACUAUGUGAAACUUUUUAGGUAUAAUAAAGCAGUAUGGUGGUUUGAGAAGACUUUAGCUCACAUACCACCACUGUUAACUGAGAUGUGGGAAUCAACUAUGGUUAAUCUUGCUCAUGCGUUAAGAAAGUUGAAGGGGUACGAUGAAGCAGUCACAUAUUAUGAAAAGGCCCUUGAGCUAUCAACAAGAAACUUAAGCACACAUGUUGGCUUUACACGUAUCACCUGCAGGAUAAUUAUACGGAUGCAAUUACAUACUAUCACAAGGCAUUUUGGAAUUAUACAGAUGACCAGUUCUGCCCAAAAAUGUUGACACUGGUUUGUAGGAUCGUUUUCAGACCCGAACGAGUCGAUCAGAAGAGUUUAUCUCUAAACGAAAGGCGGAAACAGACGUGUAGAGUUCAAUUCAGCAAGAUUCACACUAUAAACUGUUGUAUGAUUGAUUUGAGAACGUUUUACAACCUGACAACACUUCGGCAACACUUCGUUGCACAAGCCGGAAAGUUACAAAUGAUGAAAGUUUGAAAGCUAUAUAUAGAUAGUGACCCUUCCGUUUGAAACUCUUCAAACGGACAGGACAUUUCAAACUAAACCCUAUUUCAAACUUUCAGCUGCUUCAAACUUUCAACUGCUUCAAACUUUCAGCUUCAAACUUUCAGCUUCAAGUGUAGUAAACCGAGACUUGAUAUAAGACGAAGACGACAGACGGAUGCGCCAACAAACUCCCCCUCGGAUGUUGACGGAGUCUUCAGUGUCGAGUCUUCACAUCUUCAAUCUUUAUCAGUCCUCUCGAACUCUUUGAAGUAUUUGACGUUGUAAGAAUCCUCAAAUCUUUCUCUUCUCUUUUCGUCAUCAUCAACAGACUUUCCACGAACAAUCUCUACUUGGAUGUCUUCAGACUCCCCCUUUCGAUAUGUUGGGAUCGCAGCCUGGCUUGUUGAAAUCACACAGUCUUCAGGUAUCGGAACCUGGCACUCUAUCUUCAGAUAACCUGCACAUUCUCUACCCAAAAAUAAAUUUUCUGAUGAUAACUUGUAAAAACAAUCUCACCAGCUUAUGAAUCACUUACAGGAAUAAUACAAUCAAAGAAUGAUUUUACAAUGUUAAUCUUUGAUAAACCACUUGAAGAUAUAUUUUAAUUUUUCAAAAACAACACACACUCCCAAACCAUCUGUUCAUCAUGUUUAGCACUCGGAAUUUUGAAAAUUAGCUCUCCAAUACCAGUUGUCGAAAAUCUUUUUGAAUUUUUCGAAAUUUAUGCUAAAACACGCUAAAAAUCUUUUUGGAUUUUUGAAUGAAAGUAAAUGCAGAAACGAAAUAUUUACAGACAAUAUUUUUGUGAGUUUGUGUAAGAGGAUCAUAUCAGUUUUUGAGACAUAUUGACGUGACCGUGUCGUCCCGAUCAGUCAAAAACCCAAUUAAACCUAGGUAGCUAGGGUAAGUCGGGUAUCGAAUCCACGAAGAGCUUGUGGUCAGUAUUGCACGACCUGUUCGACUAGUUAGACUAUUUACAAAAAUGUACAAUGUGAUUAUGAAGAUUGCUGAUUUUUUAUAAGUUUAUUUGGUUGGAAAAUAAAUCGGAGUGACCCGACAAUUGGUAUUAUCUAAAACACUUGUGAUUAACUAAAAUUGCAACUAAAUUACUAAAUGAUUAAAACAAGAAAUUAGAGACAAGUUCCACACCCGGUUCGAUUAUUUCAAGACCUAGAGUUCCUACAUGUUUUAACUUGAUUCAAUUGCAUAUAGUGAUUAACGGAUUACUAUCACGAAGCUUAGGUGCCAAUUGCUAUCGACGUCAU